rnacentral:lncRNA from 1 species
CUUUGUGUUGGUGUUUGAGCUUAUUGAUAGAUACUUGUUGGUGUUGAUGAAGUGGUUGAAUUCACAAUAGCAUGCUAGUUCUAGAUUAGUCAAGUCUCAAGGGGAUAUUGUCUUUGCUUUGAUUUUGUUUGGUCUUUAUUUGAUGAUGAUAUGUGAUGAUGAUUGUGGCAUUGAUAAAAUCCAUGAGGCUUUGUAUAUUUGGGGAGAUUAAGCAUGUUAUGGGGGAUUAUGAUAGACAAAGGAGGUUGGAUUUGUCAAGAGAGAUGGAAAGGGGGUG